rnacentral:misc_RNA from 1 species
AAAGUCGUAACAAGGUUUCCGUAGGUGAACCUGCGGAAGGAUCAUUUCCAAAAAAAAAACUUAUAUUCACCCACUGUGUGCAAUGUUUUGGGUUUUUACUUUACUCUCUUUUGUAUACCUUCUCAUGGCAUAGAAGUCCUGAUUGUUUACUCAAUCGAACUGAAAACCAUAAGGAGUUCUUAUACUGGGAGAGGCCUUGACGAACUACCUUAUCACUAAGGUUGAUCUUAAUACUUUUUUUUGGAUCUUGACUGCAAAGUCAAACAAAAAAAUGAUACGACAACUUUUAACGGUGGAUCUCUUGGCUCGU